AAGACACUGUUGGGGCAGGAUGAUUAAAAACUGUUUUGACGCCAAUUGGAGCUUGCUAUACGCAAGAAAGUCUAGCCUAUUUCGGGUGUUUUUUUUCUCCAUGAGACAAGGCGGUUAUAUAGACUUGAACAGG
rnacentral:snoRNA from 1 species